CACCCUGACCCUUCUCCGUCCAGGUUUGAUUCAGGAGGCGGAGCUGGCUUAAGUGGCGGCAGAGAAGUGGAGGGUGAAGAUGGCUCUCUUGAGUAUCCCGCUCCCAUCACACAUGAAGAGGAAGAGCCAAAGUAAGAAGGAACAAAGGCGGGGAGCUGAGGGCAGACAACUCAAAGCGGAGAGAAGGCGCAUGCUUGUUACAGUAAGGGAUAAGUUAACCAGCCUCCACCCAAGAUGGCGUAUUUGCAGCCUUCCAGCCCUUUACAGAUGUGAAGCAGGAACAGAAGGGAAGGAAGAAAAUUUCUCACUGACCUCAUUUGUAAAACGAGUAGCAGGGGUUGCUAAAAGCCACUGCUUCCAACUUUGCCAUACACUGGUAAAUGACAUAUAUGCACACAAUGUGUAUCGUAGGUAAUAACAAUAUAUAGAAAAUGUAAAGUAUUCAUAGUAGCUUCAAAGUGGUUCUGCUCACAUACGUUCUAAGGGUGCAUAUGAAUGCUGCAGGUGAGCGAAACCUGGGUCACAGACUUAAGCUGCUUCCCACUCGGUGAUGCAGGACUGGUGCUAGCCUUGGUAAAGGAGACAAAAGCCUGGCUGAACUCCUUUCCCCACCCUCCAGCCCCUGUGGAAAGUCAGCUACUGUAACUGCGGAGCCAGCGGACUGCCUGGCUCCAGGGGCAGACACACUGUACUGCUUUCCAGGGCCAGCCACUUUUUCCACUUUCAGGCAGCACAGAGCUUGCAACGGUGAGAACUGACACCUCCACCCAGCCCGUGCUCAACUAGGAGCUCUAGAGAAGCACGAUCCAGACGUAUUCGAGUGCCUCAGUUUGGGCACAAGCCAAGCUUAUGACCUUCAGCCCCGGACAGCUGCUUUGAGGCAGCUUGGACACUUUUGCUCUGUAGCAUUCCAGGUUUCAGGAAAGAUGAACAUUUACACUAGUCCCAACACUCUGCCCAACCGAAUAAGCCUUCCCUGAGUCUGAAAUGCUCAGUUCAAAAAGCAGAGCGGUUUUACAGCUAAUUAGCUUAUCUGGACCUGCCAGGCUCCUGGGCAUGAGCACACCUCUCUCAGCAGCCUCCCUCACACCCCCAUGGCCCUGGUGAGCUCAGCCCUCUUCCUGGGCACUGCAGCCUGACACACCCAGGCACCAGCCGGCAAACCCUGCUCCAGCGGUGCUGCAGCUGCUCUGAGGAGCAAAAUCUUUCUUUAAAACCUCCCAUCCAUGCACCUACCCCUUUACCCAAACUUCAUUAGUAAAGGAAAUUGAGCCUUGCACAUUAGAAACUUUACUCCAGUAAAGCAUGGCAUAGUUACAGUUUCAGCACAUGGAAAUCUUAGAAGCUAUUUGCUGUUACUUAGUUAAGUGACAUGUUAAUUAUGCAGAAAAUUAAAGGCUGCACAGGCCUCACUGCAAAUGAGGGCUCCUCUCCCUUUUGACAAUGACAUUUUAAUUCCCAGAGACUUGAAUACACACUCACUGCAGGCUUAAGAUUGUAGUUACCUGUUUGUUUGUAAACUAAGUCAAAACUAAAAAUGGAGCACGACAGAGUUAAACAACACUAGGAAAAACCCCUCCACAGCUGCAGAGACAAAACCAAAAAUAAAGCACCAAGAACACCUUAGCCUGAGAAGCUAUUCCUUUCAGGCAUAACAGCAUAAGAACUGGAGCAAUAAAAUUUCAGUCCUGAAGUCCACGCACAGAGACUUCCUGAAAUAAAUUUAAGAUGACAAUGAAUAGCCAACUAACAGCCAUCAUUAACUAUUUAAUUAAUAAUGUGUUGAAAUCUGUAUGGAGACAACUGAAAAAUCUGCCUCCAAUGUAAACAUUUUAGCAUUGAUACACAAAACAGUCAGUAGUAACUACAAAAGACACCCCUCCUCCAAACUCUGAAUGAACUGCUGCAACAGUACCUAUAUGUAUACACGCACACUUCAAAAAGCCUUCAAGGUCUAGUGCAUUACAAAGAUAUUUUGCAAUCAACUUUAACACCACUUACUUGUUUGCCAUUAUGGAUAUCCGUAAUAUGAAUGAAUCUCAGACAAGCAAGUUUAACUUUAUGAUACUAUUACAAAGUGUGUGUGUGUGUGUGUGUGUGUGUGUGUGUAUACACACACACACAGGCAAAGUUUCCUUGUUACUUUCA